rnacentral:rRNA from 1 species
CCCGAGUGCUUGCACUCAAUUGGAAAGAGGAGUGGCGGACGGGUGAGUAACACGUGGGUAACCUACCCAUCAGAGGGGGAUAACACUUGGAAACAGGUGCUAAUACCGCAUAACAGUUUAUGCCGCAUGGCAUAAGAGUGAGAGGCGCUUUCGGGUGUCGCUGAUGGAUGGACCCGCGGUGCAUUAGCUAGUUGGUGAGGUAACGGCUCACCAAGGCCACGAUGCAUAGCCGACCUGAGAGGGUGAUCGGCCACACUGGGACUGAGACACGGCCCAGACUCCUACGGGAGGCAGCAGUAGGGAAUCUUCGGCAAUGGACGAAAGUCUGACCGAGCAACGCCGCGUGAGUGAAGAAGGUUUUCGGAUCGUAAAACUCUGUUGUUAGAGAAGAACAAGGACGUUAGUAACUGAACGUCCCCUGACGGUAUCUAACCAGAAAGCCACGGCUAACUACGUGCCAGCAGCCGCGGUAAUACGUAGGUGGCAAGCGUUGUCCGGAUUUAUUGGGCGUAAAGCGAGCGCAGGCGGUUUCUUAAGUCUGAUGUGAAAGCCCCCGGCUCAACCGGGGAGGGUCAUUGGAAACUGGGAGACUUGAGUGCAGAAGAGGAGAGUGGAAUUCCAUGUGUAGCGGUGAAAUGCGUAGAUAUAUGGAGGAACACCAGUGGCGAAGGCGGCUCUCUGGUCUGUAACUGACGCUGAGGCUCGAAAGCGUGGGGAGCAAACAGG